UAACUGUUCCCCUCUCAGACCUGUGUCAUUCCAACCUUCUACCAGCCCGCUGCCUUCAACUAGCCUGCUGCUCUCAACCGUCACCUCACCUUCAGUAAACUUCAACAUGAGGUACAGUUUCGUGCUGCUGGGUCUUCUGGCCUUCAUGUGUGCCACUUCAGGCUACGUCCUGGAGGACCAGAACGACGCUCUCAGCGACACCGACGACCUUCCAGUAGGGGUCGUCUUCAAAGGCUACGAUGGGGACGGGGCCGAACAGAGCGAUGUUGCUGACAUUGAAUUAAGGAGAAACAGCCGCCAGAAGCACGGACGCGGACACGGACACGGUCACCA